AGGUGUAUACAAGCUCCUGAUGCACCUUUUGCCCAGUCACAACAUGAAGCAGGCUGUCAGUCUUCUGUGUUCUCAGGAACAGAAAAUAAGAGUGAUAGACAAUGUCAAUCCUUAAUAAUAAAAUGAGCAGUAAAGGGUAGUGGUAUGCCUAACACUGCCCAAAAUGCCUGUGGGAAAUUCUCACUGGCCUGUGCUGCUCCUUAGACUGUGCCUUGGCUUUGUCCAUGAGGGUUUAGCUGUUUUGGGGAAGCUGUGUCAGUGUGUGUACCAAAAGCUAACAUUAUAGAUGAUUGUUGACUAACCUUUGAUCCCUAGUUAGCUUAUUAGUAGAGAUACAGCUUAUAUACUAUAAAUAUAAAAAUAAAAAUGGUGAGGAUUCAAAAGAAACUGCAAAUGCACAGGCAAGAUGUGUGCAUGAAAACCCAAACACCAUAGAUAGGAGCCUGGAUGAAUGGAUUAAUUAAAUAACUGGUUUUGAAAUUCAUAGCAUCCCCAUGUCCUGUCCAAGACAGGAAUGCAGCUCUCCUGUGUUCUUCAUAACUCAGUAGUACUGGAUGUCCCUUGUAUGUGACAUAUAACUGUCUGAUUACUUUAUAUAUUUUACAAAAGGGAUAAGAAGCAAAGGGAUAAAUGAGCAAUUUAAAAUUUAUGCUCAGUGUUGGGUAUAAACAUUCAUGCUUAUCUUUUUUGAGAAACUCUUUGAGAAUGAAUGAAUAUCUCACUAGACACAUUUGUACAUUCUUUCUCAAAAGCAGCUAAGAUUAAAAGAACUGUGGCAGUAUGAGUCUUAGGAAGCAAUUCUGUAAUUUUGGAGCCUGGGACCUAUUCAUGAAGAGAUGCCUCAAAUCAGAAAUUUAAUGACUUGAGAAUGCAGAUUAUCUCCCUUAAAGUUUAAAGCUUACUUUGAAAGUGCUUUUAUUUCAUGUAUCCCUGAAAAAGGCUAUGGGGUACAAAUUCAGUGACUGGCAAGGUUAAAACAGAUCAGUAUAAUUCAUCCUUAAGCAUAGUUACAAAGGGAAGGAUUUUCUUUCAGUAUUUGUAGGUAGAGAGAAACUUAAAUUUAGAUUUAAUUCAAGUUUACCAGAAGGUGGAGCUGGAUAGUAAAUCUAAACAACAAUAGCUUGAAAUGAAUACAUUCCAGGGAUCAUUCCAGUUCAGAAAAAUGAAUGUUGUUGAUAUACCAGUAGUUUCUACCUACUGCAAUUCAUAUACUGCAACUGGCACCUAUUAUCUGGACAGAACUCAAAUGAUCAGUAUAGCCACAAAAAUGUACAUUAUUAAAUAUUACCACUAACAUGAAAGAAGGACUGCAGAAGUAUGGUUUGAAAAUAAUGAAAAUGAAAUUCGAAUUUUAACUCCAAUCCUCCAAAGUGUUGAAGUAAAUGCAUAUACAGAUAAAGAUCACAAAACCUGAAAUUGAGGCUGCAGAGGAAAGUAAACCUCCAACACUGAAACACAUAUCUCAAGAUAAAUAGCCUUAUCAGACUUAUCAUGGACGAUCUCUUAUCUCUUAAAAUUAUAUCUGGGUAUAUUUCACAUUUCCAUACUCCUUUCCCCUGUAGAUUGCCAUAUUUCCAUACAAAUAUUUCUUUGGUCAGAUGAGGCAGACAUUUAACCUAAUCUUCUUGUCCUGAUUAAUGAAAAAUCUCUUUGAAAGAGCAUCCUUCACUUUGGAUGGCCAGACUGUCUUUCCAGGACCUUCCCAAAGGUAGGCUUUUUGCUUCUUACAAACUGCCCUUGCUGCAAGCAUUCUGGUAGAGUCUGGAGAUGGAGUUGUGAUGACAUGAAAGACCCAUCCUCACUUUGAAGUUGUCUUUCCCCAGUGGAAAGCUUUUUUUGGUUGAGUUACGCAUCUUUUGCCAAUCUCUCAAUGUCAAACUCAGUUUGGGAAAUGUUUGGCUGGAGCAUUUGCCACAGGUCAGGACUAAAUGUAUUGAACUCUUGGAUUUGUCAGUGAAAUAUCGUUUGAACAGGUUUAAGGGACAUGUGCAUGCUCUGGCCUGCUCUUUUUGGGAAGAUUUCCUUAACCAUGCACUGUUGCCCAGUGGCACUGGACAUCAGAGCAGCUCAUGAUGUGCCCCUUUAUUAGUGGUAUUUGCAGUGAUGGAUGUAACUCCCCAUCAAAGAUACCAGGUAAACACCAGCAUCAGUCACAGAUGAAGCCCAGAGUGAGAAGGAUUGCAGGUGAGAUGACACUGAGAUGUCCUCACAAUGGUCCUGUGUUCUUUCUUCAGUUCACCUGUAGAUCACAAUGGAAGCUAGUUUGGAUAAGGGGAUAACUGGAUAAUAAUAAGGAAUUGGCAUCAGGCUCAGGGCUCAUAUUCACUCCAUUCUGACUUCAGUCCGUCUCAGGAUAAAGAGCUGUAAAAAACAGGCAAAAGAUGUUUGCAGUGAUUGUUCAAGAAAGUGAUUUUCCACAGGUAGAAGGAAUAUGGUAAACCUUUUCAGGGGAAGAAAUAAUAAAUACAGAGCUCCAUUGUGUUCCAUCAUAACUGACACAAGGCUCAUAUGAUUAAUGAUUAAUGCCAGCCCAGUAAAGCCCUCCCAAAUAUGCUUCCUAAAGAAGAAAGAAGGCAGAGGGUUAGGUCUUCAGCUGAGGUAUCUGAAUUAAUUUAAAUGUGAUUGUAUCUCACAUGCUUGGUCUUAAUUGUCUCCUCCUGAAAAUUCAAUACCUGCAUUCAUGCUCCUGGGCUCCAGGGAUUCCAGAGCACCACACUGUCCCCACUGAAAGGAAAUGAAAAAUCGGCUGAUGCUAACCAGACCCCUUCAGCAACUUUACCCAUUUAAGUGCUGUAUCCUGCAGAGUGAUUAAUGAUUUUUUUCCUUCUACAUUUAACAGCAAAGAAAGAAGGAAAGAAAGAAUGUGUACUGUCGCUCACCUUCUAGCCAAUAGACUACAAAGCCAUAGCUUGCCAGGAUAUUCACUUUCCUCCUGAGUGUGAUUUAUUUUUCAUGUGUAUCUGAUGUUGCCUGUUCCUUGGAUGUGGCUGGAACCAGCAGCAUCUUAUCAGCAAAAGGUUUGGCUCACUCUUGUAUGUGACCAGCAUUGUGCUUUCUUUGGGCCUUUUUAAAACUGCAACCUGAACCUGUUCACCAACCCUUUAUUAACACGUGUUUUAUGGUACAGGUGUAAUAAUUAAUCCAAAUGGUUAGCAGAUGUGGCUGUCUAUCUCUGGGCAUAUCAGUUCCUACACACCACCCCUUAAUCAAGCAGUGCCCAAGCAAUGCCAAAGUAAAUGAAAGAAAAUAAAUUCCACCAAGAUAUUUAUGAGGGCCACCUGGAUAGGGAAAUACCUUGGCCUUUGCUGGUCCCCUGCUCCAGGUGGCUACAAAAGACUGAAGUCCCUCAUAUAUACGAGUCAAAUCAAUCUUGCAGGGAGCUGAAAAUGAAAAGCUGUGCUUGGCUCCCUAGUUUAACAAUAAUGAAAUUUUGUACAUGUGCUCUAAGGAAGUUUUCCCAUUUCACCCUAUUUAUUUGAAAUAUCCCUUCUUUUUACCAGUGCCAGCACCUGAUGGACUUCACAUAAUUCAGGUUGCUAGUUUCUGCCUCUGUUUCUAGCAAGCCAAAGCUAAGGAUUUUCUUUGUGUUAUCAGCUGGACUCCGGGUGUUGCUUUGCAAAUCACAAAGGGAGACGCCAGAUUUUUACAUUCCUGCCAUUUCCACCUUUUUUUUUUUUUUUCCCAAUUAUUUAUAGUCUUCACAUGGGUAAUUCCUGGCAGAUUUUCAUCACAUUCAGUUUCCACUGGGACAAAAGUCUUUGCCUGUGAAGAGAAGUUGCUUCAGGAGGAGCCCAUUCCUGGUGGAAGCUGCAGCCUAAUCCUCCUUACAGCAUCAUGGCAAAAUGCACCUCCCACCCCAUGGGAAAGUUCCACACAUCUGCUGCAUCCAGGUGCUACCCUCCUCCAACCACCCCGAGAGCACCAGGGAUGAAAACCCAGGUGUCCUGGCCUUCAUCAAAUACAGACUGGCCAGCAGGCUAAGGUGGGUGAUUUUGCCUCUCUGCUUGGUACUUGUGGUAACCCAGCUGGAUAACCAGCAUCUGUGGGCCUCAGCUCAGGAAAGACAUGGACCAGCUUGAACAAGUCCAGAGGGGAGCCACAAAGAUGGGUAGAGGGCUGGUGUCCCUGUCAUGACAAGGGGGUUGGAACUAGAUGACCUUGAAGUCCCCUACAACUGCAAGCAUUAGAUGAUUCCAUGGGGUGAGGGAUAGGUUGACCCCAGCUGGACAUCAGAUUACCGCCCCCCCCCCCUCCCCCAAAGCCUCAAAAUGUCACUCUCUCUUCAGCCAGAUGAGGGAGAGAAAAUACAAUGGACUGAGAUAAGGACAGGGAGAGACCACCCACAGUUACCAUCACAGGGAAAACAUACUUCAUUUAGGGAAGUUAGUUUAGUUUACUACUGAUCAAAUCAAGAGUAGAACAUCAAGAAAUAAAACAAAAUCUUAAAAACACAUUCUCCCCAGCUCUUCCUUCUUCCCAGAUUUUGUUUUACUUCUGUUUUUGUCCCUCUCCUCUGUAAGAGCAGCUCAGAAAAAUGAGGAGAAGGGAUUGACGUUGUAGAAUCAUAGAAUGGUGGGAGAUGAAAGGGACUUUAAAGAUCAUUUACUUCCAACCCCACUGCCAUGGUCUGGGACACCUUCCAUUACACCAGGCUACUCAGAGCCACAUCUGGGCUGAUCCUGAACAUUUUGAGGGAUGGGGCAGCCACAACUUCUCAUCCAGAGAUGGGGAGUUCUCAGCCUCUGUAGGCAGGUCAGUCCAUCACACAUUGUUCUCUGCUGCUCCUUUCUCCUCAGGGGACGACUCCUCACACUCUCUCCCUGCUCCAGUCAUGGGAGACAGUGCUCCACAAAAUUCUCCAGUGUGAGUCCUUCCUCAAGAAAUGCUCCAGCGUGGAUGCUUUCCACAGGGUGCAGUCUCUUCAGGCAUAGAAUGCUCCAGCAUGGGUCCCCCUUGAGGUCCAGCUCCUACCAACAAACCUGGUGCAAUGGAGGCUUUUCUCUCCAUUGAAUUUUCAGUGAGUGAGAAGCAGUCAAUGUUGGGAAAAAUGCAUGACAGAAGAAAUUAUCUGGCAUCCCGAUUAGUAGCUGUCAGUCCUUUGUAUCCACAUAACGAAAAAAAUGAAGUUACCAGUGCAGCUAGUUCCAGCACAGGCAUUGCUUUGUGCUUAACAACUAUGAUGCUAGGCAACGUAGGUAAAAUUGUGUGCCAAACGUAACAUAUAAUUAAGUCAAAGCUGAUAAUAGGUAUGUACCUUGCACUUUGAACAUGUAAGCUCAUUUUCUAAUCAACAUAUAUAGGAAAAAAAAAAGGGAAAAAUAUAGGUUGUUUUUUAUCUAUUUGGCAAGUUUUGUCUAAUAAGCCUGUAUAUUGACUGCUGCCAUAGAUGGAAAGAUGAAACAGGUGGAUUACUGGAGUGAAGUUUAAUGCACUUAUUAUCCUGAUGUAGUUUAAAUAUUUAUUUAAAACUUACAGGCAAACACGAAGGGUAUUAAAACCUUUCUGAGUUUGAACUAUUACUGCUUAAAUUUUCCCAUUAUUUAUUCAUGCUAGAGAGAAAUUGCUGAACAAAACCAAGCACAUGAUUCAUGAUUAAAUCCAUGAGACCUACUAGCUAUCAGCUUUCCAUCAACCAGUCUGAAAAUCUAUGCCAAGAAGUGUCACAGUCUGCUUAGAACAGCAGUGGAGCCAGCCUCAACCAAAUGGCAGCAGCAAAAAACUCCCAAACGAUGCUGAUUUCAUAACAUAUCUCCCCAUAUUUUCCCCUGCUAUGCAAAGUCUGAAUGUUGGAAUGAAUUGUCUUUGAUAACAUGGAAGUUAAUAGACCCAGGAGUCUGGAAUCUCCUCUUUUCUUCUUAAAGAGGUUUUGGAAUAUGGAUGUGCACAGAAGUGUGUUAAAUGGAUUAUGCUUCCAUUAUUUUAACUUGUUUAUUUGCAACAUGCGAACAGCCUGAAGUAAACACCUGGGAAGUUUCAACUGUAAAAGUUCAGAUGUUCUUUGGUUAUGAAGGCAGAAAAAUAGCAUUUUUUUAGAACAAGCAUAUAUAUAUAAAAAACACAAACCCAAAAACAAUUCAGAAAAGCCAUAUGUUGUGUAACAGGAAAACUGACAUUUUUCUUGUGACUUCCAAAAAUAUCCAUUUCUGCACUGAGACUAAUGCCUGUUACAGUUUAGCCAGAACAGGGUCAAAGCAGGUGUUUUAAGAUUAAAGUCCCCUAGCAAAUUAACUGUGAUAUUUGAUAUCUGGUAAAUACUCUCCAGAGCAAGUUGAAUAAGAGCCCUUAUUAUACACAACAGAUUGGAGUAAAUAAAAAUUGUGAGACAAACAAACCUUCCCUCUCUGUAAUGAAGCUUUCCCCCCACUGCCCAGUCUCAAGGGAAGAAAAAGAAAAGGAAGACCAGCGGUCAGAUUAAAUACGUUAUUGUGAAGGAAGCAUGUGUCUGGCAGCCUCAGACAUACACAUGAAAAGUAGACUGUUGUAACCAAAGGGUUUCUCCAUAUGUUGAACUCUGAGUCUCCCAUUUCUUCCAGAAAUGAUUAGCUAAGGGUAUUUUCCACUUUUCAGUCAAAGAGAAAACAAAAUACUGCAGGGAGAUGUUAGAUGUUCCACUGGGAAAUGUACAUCUUAUCUCUCUCUAUGAGUAUCUCUUCCAAUCUUUCUUUUCUACCUGCCCAGACCCUGGGCUGCUAAGCCAAGUUUCAUGGGGAUUAUAGUUUCCUGAGCCUUCCUGGUGAUCAUUUAUAAUUACUGGCAUGAGAUAGACUUUUUUUUUCCUGUGCAACAUCCUCAGGAGCCUGAGAUUUAUUUAAAAGCUGUGUCGGUGGAUCAGAAAACUCCUUUGCCAAUUGUUUUAGAACUCCUGACCGCGGUGGACAUUUGUUCUUUGGUACCCUGAGGACAAAGCAUGGAUGUUGGAGGCCCUGCUUUUCAUGCGUAUCUGUGAAAUGCACUUUGCAGAGAAGAGAGGAGGGGUGCUUGUGUCUCCGGUCACUGCACUCACCAGACAUGCUGCUCCUUAAGUGCCAGUGCAGAUGUUCCAGACUGUUGAAGUUUGUGCUCUGCACAAAAGAUGGAAAUUAUGCAAAAAUCCCUCCUUGGCCAAAGGACCACAGUAAAAAGCUUUAAAGAUGAAAGGGAGAAUUUUGGGCUUUGAAAACAGGGCUGUAAAUUCUGGCAAUCUUUAAAAAUGUAAAAUAUGUACAUAUCUGUGUAAAAGCUUUCUGACAACACUUGCUUAUAAAGGGGAAAGUAGAAUGACUGAAAUAAGCAGAUGCCUGUCUAAAACUGAUAGGUUAAAUAGUGGAGGCUGAAACAGAGCUUCUGGAAUCAAAAAUUAGUAUGUUCAAAGUGGAUUUUGAAAUAGAUCUUUGCCAAGCUGCCUUGGAUAUAAGGGAGAUGAGGUUCUAAAUAUAGUGCAUAGAACUUAAUAUGUCAAUAAAAUAACCUUCAGUAUGGAAUUUCACUUGGUGUCACUAUAUGUUUUUAUUCAGAAACUAGCAUAAUAAAAAAUGAAUGCAACUGAUGUUAAGUAUUUUAAAAAUCAAAUGGUAAAUUGGAAAUGCUAUAAAUCUGGACUCUUUGUUAAAUAACUGAAUUUUAUCUGGAGCCCUGCAUGGUUCGUUUUUCAGAAUUAAACUAUUUAGUAUUAGUAUCAAUGUCCAAGAAAAAAAAAAUGCACUAACCACUGACAAAGACUGGAUAUGACACAAAUAUUAUGGAGUGGGAGAAAAAAAAUAGGCAGGAAGAUAAAAUAGUGAUGCAGACCAGAUUGCCUGGUGAAACAGAUGAUAGUAACAUAUUAGGAAGUAAAGACUAUCUUCUGGGGAAAAAAAAAAAAAAAAAAAAGAAAAAAACCAAAGCCAUACAGACAGAAUAUACUUAUUGCGUAUUUUGGAUGGUAACUGGGACCACAGUGGGUACACAGUCCACAGAUUCCAGAGGCGAGCUAGAAAUGAGAAAAUAGAAUAUAGGUAUGGUAUUUGGUGAAAAUGUGGCCUUAACAUCUAUAUUCCCUAGUGUCCACAAUCCAAGAUGGGGAGAUUGAAUAGCAGAAAAAGUCUCUUAGGAUAAUCUAGAGGAUGGUUAAAAGGCUGGAAAACUUGCACCAGAGCAGAAGACUAUAAAAGAGCUCUGUUUCUUGAAGAAUUUUAUAAAAAUGACUGUUCAUAUCUCUCCACAUUAAGAACUUUUUUUUAUUGUUGUUGUUUUUUUUGGAUUUGGAGUUUUUUAUAUAUCGGAUAAAGACAUCAGAGCAUCUAGUCUCUGGAAAUACAAAAAUGAUAACUUCAGACCAAAAAUAAAACACACAUGUUUUUACCAGAGAGGGGCACAUAAUCACCAAAGGAAUAGAUGUGGUGGCUAUACAAGGUUUUCUAUCAGUGGCAAUUUGAAAAAUAAAGAUUGACUGUUUCUCUUGAA